AAAUAUUUCGAGCGGUUUGCGUCUCGGCUAAGCAAAGUGGUAUACUGUUUCAGUGAGUGCAGUAAUGGCUCCUGAAACUAGAUAGCUCUUUUUCAACCAUUUGCUCGAUCCUGGGAAGGCGCCAAAUUGAUAUCGCCAUUUGAAUCUUUAUACAUAACCAGCAAUUGUCCUUCAAGGUUUCUUGAAGGUAGAAAUCCUUAAGCUCGUUCAUUUUCGCUCGCACUAGAGGAAGAGAAGUAUCGCGGUUUCCAAGUUCCGAACAAUUUAAGUUUUCUACAAAGUGAAACGUGUUCCUUCAAAGUUUGCAGAAGAUAGCUGCUUAUUUCGGUCAGUGCGUCUGACACUUUCGCGAUUCUCUCCAUUUGUCGGAGUAGAUAUUGAGACAGAAAAAGCGCGUAGGCGCUUUUUUUGUACGGGCUGGAAUUUUGUGACGACCAGCGGAGUCGAAUUGGGGUUCCAUCCAUUUUGCUGUGGAUCGCGGUGCGACCAAAAUUGAGCUUGCGUGUCCG